rnacentral:rRNA from 1 species
GUGAGGAAUAUUGGUCAAUGGGCGAGAGCCUGAACCAGCCAAGUCGCGUGAAGGAAGAAGGAUCUAUGGUUCGUAAACUUCUUUUGCAGGGGAAUAAAGUGCAGGACGUGUCCUGUUUUGUAUGUACCCUGAGAAUAAGGAUCGGCUAACUCCGUGCCAGCAGCCGCGGUAAUACGGAGGAUCCGAGCGUUAUCCGGAUUUAUUGGGUUUAAAGGGUGCGUAGGUGGUUUGAUAAGUCAGCGGUGAAAGUUUGCAGCUUAACUGUAAAAAUGCCGUUGAAACUGUCGGACUUGAGUGUAAAUGAGGUAGGCGGAAUGCGUGGUGUAGCGGUGAAAUGCAUAGAUAUCACGCAGAACUCCGAUUGCGAAGGCAGCUUACUAAGCUACAACUGACACUGAAGCACGAAAGCGUGGGGAGCAAACAGGAUUAGAAACCCGGGUAGUCC